rnacentral:lncRNA from 1 species
GAAAUCUUAUCGUGAUCAUUUGUAUGAAUAGAUUGCUUGAGUUGGAAGUUCAACGAAAAUUAAAGGCUCAAGUCAUGGAGUGAGUUUUCGAUAAAUUGAGGCAAGUGGAUUUCUAAAUUCUUGUUAAGUGUAUGAAAUGCGUGUAUGUCCUUGUGGUAUAUGUUGGGAGUAACGGGAUUGGUGAUGGGUUGACUUGUCCACAUUGAUUUAUUUUAAUAAUGAAAAGAAUGGGGAUAACAAAAGACAAUGUGAUUAAUUGUUUAUGUCUGUUGUGUUGAGAAAGGGUUGAAGGCUUGUUGAAUCAUUGUUGAUGUAACUUCAUGUUUGUGUGGUUGUGAACUGUGUGAUGUUAUGAAAAUGGUCAUCUCCUCAUUAUAUGUGUGAACUUGUCAUCUGCAUUAUUCUGAGGCAUUUGUUGUGACAAGUGUUAUGUGCAUUAAGAAAGAAUGGGUACUUAAGAGGAUGUACCAUUUCGAGGGACGUAUCGCGCGCCGCGAUGGAUACUAUAUUUCGAGGGACAUAUCGUGCGCCGCGAUGGUUACUAUUAUCGAGGGUCGUGUCGUGCGCCGCGACAGAUGCAUGGACAGAUAUGUCCCCAUGGGUCCCGGACUAAGAGACAGCGGGUGUGUAUCACUAGGUCAGACAUGCAUCAUUAUACUUGACAUUGCAUUCCAUUGCAUUGCACAUACUUAUCAUUAGUGAACUUAAUAUCGUAUUUUACCGAUCUUCUGAUUGCCUUUCUGCGGAACUUGUGAUUGAUUAAUAUUGAGCUUCUUAUUGCGGAUAUGUAAUUUGUUGAAGUAUUCUUGUUGAGGAUAUGUAAUUUGUUGAAGUGUUGUUGUUGAGGAUAUGUAAUUUGUCUAAGUGUUGUUAUUGAGCUACGUGCUAUGUAAACUGUGAGCUGUUAGGUUUGGUUGAUUUUAAUGCAGGUUGUAGUUGUGGAGGUUUUGUUGGGGGUGGUAGGAGUACCCGUAUUUUAUCCCCUUAGCUUGUGUUUAGACGUUUUACUUGCUGAGUACCGUGUGGUUUGGUACUCACCCCUUGCUUCUACAAAUUUUUGUAGGUUACUAGCCCGGACUUUUAUGAUAUAUUCUCUUCUUUUUCCGAGGCUUCCUGGAGAUUUUGUGAGGUAGUUGUUGGUCAUCUCAGCAUCCCUCCUUACUCUUGUUUAUGAUUUUGUUCUACUCUAGAAACAAUAUCAUAAGAGACUUAUAUUUUCUUUUGAUCCGAUUGUAAUACUUUAGAGGCUUGUACACGUGACAACCAGGUUUUGGGGUAUAAUGUAAGUUGAUAGUAAAUUUUCCGCAUUUUUAUUGUAAUAGUUGAGUUUUAGGCUUACUUGUCUUGGUGGGAUAAGACGAGUGUCAUCACGUCCAUUUGUGGGUCGUGACAAAAUCAUAAUAUAUGUACACUGUUAUAAAAUACUGCCUCCGUUUUAAAAAGAAUAACCUCCUUUCCUUUUUAGUCCACUUUAAAAUAACUUUUUUUUUGUAACAUUUUAAAAUAAGUUUUUCACGUGGCAUGUUUAAGGCCACAAGAUCAAAGGACAAUUUUGUACAUUUAACAUAACUUUAAUUUAGGACCAUAAGAUACAAGAAUCUUCUUUAUACUCUUAAACUCCGUGCCAAGACUAAUCAGGUCAUUCUUUGUGAAACAGAGGGAGUAACUAGCAGAACAAACUAAAAUUAAUUAUAAGAAGAAUAAAUAAAGAGAGCAUAAUAUACAUUAAAUUUUUCUUACCUCUUGCUUUGUGAAUGAAAACAAUAAUUAUUUAUAGCUAAAUGGGAAAUAUAUAAACUAACAUUUUGACCAUUGAGAAGUUAUCUACUCGGCCAAGUGAUGACACCUCAAAAGUUGGUGGCUCCACAUGGCAUCAUUUUAGUAUGGUGAGUGAUGACACUUAAAGGGUGACCCACAUGACAUCCAUUUAGUUUUACAAUACUCCAAUUUGGAUGUCCAUGUUAAAGAAAAGUUGAAAAAACAAGAAUUUACAUAGAUAUUCAAAAUACUCAUUGUUUGCUGCUUCACUAAAAACCUUUGUAGAAAAACCAAGUGGGACGAAACCUAGAUUAAAGGAAAAAAGAGUGCAAUAUGUAUUUAACUCCCCCCGAUUAAGAUUACGAUUCAGAUGCUUAAGUCUGCACAUUUCAAUAUUUUGCACCAUCUUCUCGAGAGUUGAGACUGAUAAAACUUUGAUGAAUAAAUCUGCUGGAUUAUCACUCGAACAAAUUUGUUGUAUAUCAAUAUCAUCAUUUUUCUGAACUUUCUAAAACAUACAAGAAUGAAUAGAAAAAAUCAUAGAACAAAAAAUUUCAAAAAUGGAAAAACGAUUUGAAUUAACAGUCAGUUACGUUUUAGAGAGCAAAUGUUGUCAUUUUUUCUCCUUUUUUCUUUCGAGCAUUUUUUUGCCCUCUAUUCUUAAGAAUUCCAGAAAAAAGAAUUGCAAAAAAUAAUUUUGUCUUCCGAAUAAUUCAAUUGAUAAUCUUCACAAGUUCACCAAGUUGAAUUCGGCAUAUUCUUGAAACCAAUGUUUUCAAAUUCACGACUAUAAUUUCAUCAGUUCAAUUGAAUUCAAGAAAUUUUGACAUCAAGUUUUUUUUAUUUUUGUUGAUCAUUUUAUUUGUUUGGAUAAUAUAUUCGUAAUCAUGUCG